rnacentral:rRNA from 1 species
GAUGAACGCUGGCGGCGUGCCUAAUACAUGCAAGUCGAGCGAACGGACGAGAAGCUUGCUUCUCUGAUGUUAGCGGCGGACGGGUGAGUAACACGUGGAUAACCUACCUAUAAGGCUGGGAUAACUUCGGGAAACCGGAGCUAAUACCGGAUAAUAUUUUGAACCGCAUGGUUCAAAAGUGAAAGACGGUCUUGCUGUCACUUAUAGAUGGAUCCGCGCUGCAUUAGCUAGUUGGUAAGGUAACGGCUUACCAAGGCAACGAUGCAUAGCCGACCUGAGAGGGUGAUCGGACACACUGGAACUGAGACACGGUCCAGACUCCUACGGGAGGCAGCAGUAGGGAAUCUUCCGCAAUGGGCGAAAGCCUGACGGAGCAACGCCGCGUGAGUGAUGAAGGUCUUCGGAUCGUAAAACUCUGUUAUUAGGGAAGAACAUAUGUGUAAGUAACUGUGCACAUCUUGACGGUACCUAAUCAGAAAGCCACGGCUAACUACGUG